rnacentral:tRNA from 1 species
AUUACUUUGGCAGAGGAAAAUGCAUUAGAUUUAGGUUCUGAAAAGAUAGAGGUACUUUCUAUAGGUAAUA